rnacentral:rRNA from 1 species
ACGUAGGGUGCAAGCGUUAAUCGGAAUUACUGGGCGUAAAGCGUGCGCAGGCGGUUUUGUAAGACAGUGGUGAAAUCCCCGGGCUCAACCUGGGAACUGCCAUUGUGACUGCAAGGCUAGAGUGCAGCAGAGGGGGAUGGAAUUCCGCGUGUAGCAGUGAAAUGCGUAGAUAUCGGGAGGAACACCAGUGGCGAAGGCGGCUUCCUGGCACAAAACUGACGCUCAUGUGCGAAAGCUAGGGCAGCGAACGG